rnacentral:rRNA from 1 species
ACGGGUGAGUAACGCGUGGGAACGUGCCUUUCGGUUCGGAAUAACUCAGGGAAACUUGAGCUAAUACCGGAUACGCCCUUCGGGGGAAAGAUUUAUUGCCGAAAGAUCGGCCCGCGUCCGAUUAGCUAGUUGGUGUGGUAAUGGCGCACCAAGGCGACGAACGGUAGCUGGUCUGAGAGGAUGAUCAGCCACACUGGGACUGAGACACGGCCCAGACUCCUACGGGAGGCAGCAGUGGGGAAUAUUGGACAAUGGGCGCAAGCCUGAUCCAGCCAUGCCGCGUGAGUGAUGAAGGCCCUAGGGUUGUAAAGCUCUUUCGCCAGGGACGAUAAUGACGGUACCUGGAUAAGAAGCCCCGGCUAACUUCGUGCCAGCAGCCGCGGUAAUACGAAGGGGGCUAGCGUUGUUCGGAAUCACUGGGCGUAAAGCGCACGUAGGCGGAUCUUUAAGUCAGGGGUGAAAUCCCGAGGCUCAACCUCGGAACUGCCUUUGGUACUGGAGGUCUCGAGUUCGGGAGAGGUGAGUGGAACUGCGAGU